rnacentral:rRNA from 1 species
CCAGAUUAAUGCUGCUUGUCUCAACCUUAAGUUUCUUGGAUCUUGUUUUACUUGGAUAAAUGUGGUAAUUCUAGAGCUAAUACAUGCAACCAAGCUCUGACCUUACGGAAGGAGCGCAUUUAUUAGACCAAGACCAAUUAGGCUCCGGCCUAGUAUCUGGUGACUCUGAAUAACUUUGCUGAUCACACGGUCCUCGCACCGGUGACAUAUCUUUCAAGUGUCUGCCCUAUCAACUGUCGAUGGUAGUUUAUGUGCCUACCAUGGUCGUAACGGGUAACGGAGAAUAAGGGUUCGACUCCGGAGAGGGAGCCUGAGAAAUGGCUACCACAUCCAAGGAAGGCAGCAGGCGCGCAAAUUACCCACUCUCAGCUCGAGGAGGUAGUGACGAAAAAUAACGAGACGGUUCUCUUUGAGGCCCGUCAUCGGAAUGGGUACAAUCUAAACCCUUUAACGAGGAUCUAUUGGAGGGCAAGUCUGGUGCCAGCAGCCGCGGUAAUUCCAGCUCCAAUAGCAUAUACCAAUUCUGCUGCUGUUAAAAAGCUSGUAGUUGGAUCUUUCCUGAGGGCCCAGUCUGUCUAACGGACUAGUACUGGGUUCCGAGGGUUUUACCUUGCUGGUUGUCUCAUGGUGCCCUUCAUUGAGUGCCUUGGGUGGCUAGCACGUUUACUUUGAAAAAAUUAGAGUGCUCAAAACAGGCGUUACAGCCCGAAUAGUGGUGCAUGGAAUAAUGGAAUAGGACCUCGGUUCUAUUUUGUUGGUUUUAGGAGCGCGAGGUAAUGAUUAAGAGGGACAGACGGGGGCAUUCGUAUUGCGUCGUUAGAGGUGAAAUUCUUGGAUCCCCGCAAGACGUACAACUGCGAAAGCAUUGCCAAGAA